GAUGAACGCUGGCGGCGUGCCUAAUACAUGCAAGUCGAACGAGUUCUGAUUAUUGAAAGGUGCUUGCAUCUUGAUUUAAUUUUGAACGAGUGGCGGACGGGUGAGUAACACGUGGGUAACCUGCCCUUAAGUGGGGGAUAACAUUUGGAAACAGAUGCUAAUACCGCAUAAAUCCAAGAACCGCAUGGUUCUUGGCUGAAAGAUGGCGUAAGCUAUCGCUUUUGGAUGGACCCGCGGCGUAUUAGCUAGUUGGUGAGGUAACGGCUCACCAAGGCAAUGAUACGUAGCCGAACUGAGAGGUUGAUCGGCCACAUUGGGACUGAGACACGGCCCAAACUCCUACGGGAGGCAGCAGUAGGGAAUCUUCCACAAUGGACGCAAGUCUGAUGGAGCAACGCCGCGUGAGUGAAGAAGGCUUUCGGGUCGUAAAACUCUGUUGUUGGAGAAGAAUGGUCGGCAGAGUAACUGUUGUUGGCGUGACGGUAUCCAACCAGAAAGCCACGGCUAACUACGUGCCAGCAGCCGCGGUAAUACGUAGGUGGCAAGCGUUAUCCGGAUUUAUUGGGCGUAAAGCGAGCGCAGGCGGUUUUUUAAGUCUGAUGUGAAAGCCCUCGGCUUAACCGAGGAAGUGCAUCGGAAACUGGGAAACUUGAGUGCAGAAGAGGACAGUGGAACUCCAUGUGUAGCGGUGAAAUGCGUAGAUAUAUGGAAGAACACCAGUGGCGAAGGCGGCUGUCUGGUCUGUAACUGACGCUGAGGCUCGAAAGCAUGGGUAGCGAACAGG
rnacentral:rRNA from 2 species